CAGGCUUAACACAUGCAAGUCGAGGGGUAUUCUAGCAAUAGGAGAGACCGGCGCACGGGUGCGUAACGCGUAUGCAAUCUACCUUUCACAGAGGGAUAGCCCAGAGAAAUUUGGAUUAAUACCUCAUAGUAUAGUACCUUGGCAUCAAGGAACUAUUAAAGAUUUAUCGGUGAAAGAUGAGCAUGCGUCCCAUUAGCUAGUUGGUAAGGUAACGGCUUACCAAGGCUACGAUGGGUAGGGGUCCUGAGAGGGAGAUCCCCCACACUGGUACUGAGACACGGACCAGACUCCUACGGGAGGCAGCAGUGAGGAAUAUUGGUCAAUGGGCGCAAGCCUGAACCAGCCAUGCCGCGUGCAGGAUGACGGUCCUAUGGAUUGUAAACUGCUUUUAUACAGGAAGAAACACUCCCUCGUGAGGGAGCUUGACGGUACUGUAGGAAUAAGGAUCGGCUAACUCCGUGCCAGCAGCCGCGGUAAUACGGAGGAUCCAAGCGUUAUCCGGAAUCAUUGGGUUUAAAGGGUCCGUAGGCGGCUUAAUAAGUCAGUGGUGAAAUCCCUACGCUUAACGUAGGAACGGCCAUUGAUACUGUUAGGCUUGAAUUAUUAGGAAGUAACUAGAAUAUGUAGUGUAGCGGUGAAAUGCUUAGAGAUUACAUGGAAUACCAAUUGCGAAGGCAGGUUACUACUAAUGGAUUGACGCUGAUGGACGAAAGCGUGGGUAGCGAACAGGAUUAGAUACCCUGGUAGUCCACGCCGUAAACGAUGGAUACUAGCUGUUGGGAGCAAUCUCAGUGGCUAAGCGAAAGUGAUAAGUUCCCAC
rnacentral:rRNA from 1 species